GUAGCCCAGUGCCUUUAUUUGGUCAACGGAACGAUACAGAGAAGAUUAGCAUGGCCCCUGCACAAGGAUGACACGCUUCCCAAAAGGAGCUACUGGUUUUC
rnacentral:snRNA from 1 species